GGCUUGACUUGUUCAGAUGAGAAAACAAGCGCUUUGAAGCAGGCCGGCCCGAACCCUAUACGAAAAAAAUAUAGUCCUGCUGGGAAUGUAGGUAUAAGAGUAAUUUUUUAUGCACUGUAGAUGGUGCAGAAUGCGUGCACUGCCCACUGCUGAUUGGCUCACAUGCGGGACAAAGAUACGGUGCAUUAAAAAAAAAAUUUCUUUCGACCCCGCAUGUGAGCUAAUCAUCACGGAUGGUGUGCACGAUUCUGCACCGCCCCCAAUGCACAAAGAAGUUCGCAUAGAUAUUAUAGGCAACCAAAUAUGAUUUUAGAUCUAGACAGCC
rnacentral:lncRNA from 1 species